GACGAACGCUGGCGGCGUGCUUAACACAUGCAAGUCGAGCGGAGCGGCGAACGGGUGAGUAACGCGUGAGUAACUGCCCCCCUCUCUGGGAUAACAGUUGGAAACGGCUGCUAAUACCGGAUAGUGGGGGAUGACUCGCGUCCUCUCAGCUUGUUGGUGGGGUGGUGGCCUACCAAGGCGACGACGGGUAGCCGGCCUGAGAGGGCGACCGGCCACAUUGGGCUGGGGUACGGCCCAAACUCCGACGGGAGGCAGCAGUGGGGAAUAUUGCACGAUGGGGGAAACCCUGUUGCAGGAACGCCGCGUGCGGGAUGACGGCCCUCGGGUGCUAAACGGCAUUGGGCCAUGUCGCGGUAGUGGCCGAAGACGCGUCGGCUAACUACGUGCCAGCCGCCGCGGUAAUAC
rnacentral:rRNA from 1 species